ACACAUGCAGUCGAGCGGCAGCGGAAGUAGCUUGCUACUUUGCCGGCGAGCGGCGGACGGGUGAGUAAUGUCUGGGAAACUGCCUGAUGGAGGGGGAUAACUACUGGAAACGGUAGCUAAUACCGCAUAACGUCGCAAGACCAAAGAGGGGGACCUUCGGGCCUCUUGCCAUCAGAUGUGCCCAGAUGGGAUUAGCUAGUAGGUGGGGUAACGGCUCACCUAGGCGACGAUCCCUAGCUGGUCUGAGAGGAUGACCAGCCACACUGGAACUGAGACACGGUCCAGACUCCUACGGGAGGCAGCAGUGGGGAAUAUUGCACAAUGGGCGCAAGCCUGAUGCAGCCAUGCCGCGUGUAUGAAGAAGGCCUUCGGGUUGUAAAGUACUUUCAGCGGGGAGGAAGGCGAUAAGGUUAAUAACCUUGUCGAUUGACGUUACCCGCAGAAGAAGCACCGGCUAACUCCGUGCCAGCAGCCGCGGUAAUACGGAGGGUGCAAGCGUUAAUCGGAAUUACUGGGCGUAAAGCGCACGCAGGCGGUCUGUCAAGUCGGAUGUGAAAUCCCCGGGCUCAACCUGGGAACUGCAUUCGAAACUGGCAGGCUAGAGUCUUGUAGAGGGGGGUAGAAUUCCAGGUGUAGCGGUGAAAUGCGUAGAGAUCUGGAGG
rnacentral:rRNA from 1 species